GUGAAGCCUAAUAUGUCCACCGAACAACUUCUAAAAAAGAUUGGCAAUAGGUAUGAAUUGCCUAAAAUUCCUUCUGAGAUUUCGAAGGAUGGGAAGGAUUUCUUGAAAGGGUGUCUGGCGAAGAAACCUACAUUUAGAUUCACUGCUGAGAUGCUAUUAAAUCAUCCUUUUGUGUCAGGAUUAGAUAACACAAAAGGCAGCGAAUUUGGGGAGAUCUUGGAAGAAGGGUGGAUGGACCCUAUUGUCACAUUGCCUGAUGUUGAAAAUGAAUUUUGUGCUUCGAGCUAUUCUGAAGACUGCAGCUUUAUAUCUGAAAGAGGGUCCUUCCUCUUCUUCGGUAGAUGAGAAGUCCG
rnacentral:misc_RNA from 1 species